GACGAACGCUGGCGGCGUGCUUAACACAUGCAAGUCGAACGGAAAGGCCCUGCUUUUGUGGGGUGCUCGAGUGGCGAACGGGUGAGUAACACGUGAGUAACCUGCCCUUGACUUUGGGAUAACUUCAGGAAACUGGGGCUAAUACCGGAUAGGAGCUCCUGCUGCAUGGUGGGGGUUGGAAAGUUUCGGCGGUUGGGGAUGGACUCGCGGCUUAUCAGCUUGUUGGUGGGGUAGUGGCUUACCAAGGCUUUGACGGGUAGCCGGCCUGAGAGGGUGACCGGCCACAUUGGGCCUGAGGUACGGCCCAGCCCCCUCCGGGAGGCAGCAGUGGGGAAUAUUGCACAAUGGGCGGAAGCCUGAUGCAGCAACGCCCCGUCCGGGAUGACGUCCUUCGGGUUGUAAACCGCUUUCGCCUGUGACGAAGCGUGAGUGACGGUAAUGGGUAAAGAAGCACCGGCUAACUACGUG
rnacentral:rRNA from 1 species